rnacentral:lncRNA from 1 species
GGCCCUGGGACCCGCCCCACCCGAACCCCGGGGAGAUCCAACCGCAGGCUGCCUCCGGCCAGCGGACUCAUUCACACUCCGCAAACAGGCUGGGGCCAGACGCCGCCCUGCCCUAGGUGCCCAGCAAACACGUGGGCCAGCCAGACCCCUGGACCUUCACAGGGAGGAGGAGAUGGAGAUGGGUUCACCCCCCACAAAGGAGGGAGGGGAGGGGUUGGCCGCCAUGCCCAGGUGCCGGGACAGGAGCCGAGGGCCGCGUGCACCCCUUGGGCCCUUGGAGGGGCCGGCAUGUGCCUCUCUGUCCCUGUGCCACUUCCACUGGCCGUACAGGGCCACCACCGCGGAAACCGCAUGUGUAACCCCUGGAAACAGGGUCCUCCUUGAUGAGUCAUGUUCUAAGUUGGGAGGAAAAUUCACUGGAUAGUGGAGGCAGUAGAAAGAAAUUAAAAAAGUCUUUGUUCCACA